rnacentral:rRNA from 1 species
GACGAACCGUGCGAACGUUGUUCGGAAUCACUGGGCUUAAAGGGCGCGUAGGCGGAUUAGCAAGUCUGGGUUGAAAUCCUUCGGCUUAACCGGAGAACUGGCCUGGAUACUGCUGAUCUCGAGGGAGGUAGGGGCAGCUGGAACUUCCGGUGGAGCGGUGAAAUGCGUUGAUAUCGGAAGGAACGCCGGUGGCGAAAGCGAGCUGCUGGACCUCUUCUGACGCUGAGGCGCGAAAGCCAGGGGAGCAAACGGG